GCUUUCGUGGUGUAAAGGUCAGCAUGCUCGUGUUCGAGAGGUCAAGGGUUCGAGUCCCGGCGAGGGCA
rnacentral:tRNA from 1 species